GAUGAAGAACGUAGCAAAAUGCGAUAAGUAAUGUGAAUUGCAGAAUUCAGUGAAUCAUCGAAUCUUUGAACGCACAUUGCGCCCGCUGGUAUUCCGGCGGGCAUGCCUGUUCGAGCGUCAUUUCAACCCUCAAACCCCCCGGGUUUGGUGUUGGGGAUCGGCUCUGCCUCACGGCGGUGCCGCCCCCGAAAUACAUUGGCGGUCUCGCUGCAGCCUCCAUUGCGUAGUAGCUAACACCUCGCAACUGGAACGCGGCGCGGCCAUGCCGUAAAACCCCAACUUCUGAAUGUUGACCUCGGAUCAGGUAGGAAUACCCGCUGAACUUAAGCAUAUCAAUAAGCGGAGA
rnacentral:misc_RNA from 1 species